rnacentral:lncRNA from 1 species
UGUGCAAAUGGGCGUGGGCAGAGAUUUUAUUGCCAAAACAGUUUCUCCAUUACGAAAUGUUUUGAAAAGGAUUUCUUUCUUUCUUUCUUUUUUUUUUUCCGGUAUGGCGUAUAGCAUUUUGCCAUAUUGAGAAGUUCUUCAGAAAAAUGUUCCAUUGAGGAGUUCAACCAAAGGUUGGCUAGAAUGAGGGCUAUGCCCAGCCUUGUUUCUGCCCACACUUUUGGCUCUGCUGCCCAGGCUCCUUGCUCUUCAGCCUCACGCCUCAAGUUUCAUUGCCAAGACCUUUCACUGCACUCAGGGGUAAGUCUAUGGUGCUUUCAGCCAGCCCCCAAGAAUUUAGAAAUUGCCCCAGUCUUUGCUCUGACUCUGGCAUGGUAGGUUGUGUGGGAAGGGUGAUCAGCUUGCACUUUGAUAAUUGCAGUUUUUCCUGGGAAUCCCCAAAUACUGCUUGCCUUUAAGGUUGCAUCCAAGAGAGCCCCUUUACUCAUCUGAUUUUGAUUUCUGUCCUUUUGAGAUGUUUUGUAAUGAUUGGUUGGAAGGAGAUUCAGAAGGCUCCUGCUACUAUGCUACCAUCUUAGCUCUGCCCCUCUUCUAAUCUUUUAAAUUAAGGGAUUGGACUAGAUGAAUGAUUUCCUCUAGCUUUAAAUCUGUACUCCCCUUGAUAUGACACAAAUGAGAUUAUGGAGAUUAUAGGUUAAAAGAAAUAAAGAAGGGAAAGGACAUUUAAGCA